GAUGAACGCUGGCGGCGGGCCUAACACAUGCAAGUCGAGCGGAGCGGGGACGGGUGAGUAAUACGUGGAUAACCUCCUAUAAGACUGGGAUAACUUCGGUAACCCGGAGCUAAACCCGUUACUAGUACAUGGAUCCGCGCUUGAUGAGCAAGUUGGUAGGGUAACGGCUUACCAAGACAACGAUGCAUGGCUGACCUGAGAGGGUGAUCGGCCACACUGGAACUGAGACACGGGCCAGACUCUUACGGGAGGCAGCAGUGGGGAAUAUUCCGCAAUGGGCGAAAGCCUGACUGAGCAACGCCGCGUGUGUGAUGAAGGUCUUCGGAUUGUAAAGCACUUUUAGUAGGGAGGCGUUACCUACACAGGAAGCAACGGCUAACUCCGUGCCAGCAGCCGCGGUAAUUC
rnacentral:rRNA from 1 species